UCCAUUUAAAAAAUACAUUUAUUGUGAAAUUAACUCUCCCACCCAGUAGCCAGCUGCAUCUUCCUUCUCUUUAUAUUUCUUCCUUUUUCUCGCUAAAAAAAUUCAAGCUUUCAUCAUCCUUAGAAAUAUGGAAGAAUGAAUGAACAUAAGAAGAAUAUGGAGAACUUACAUUUCAUUUAUUGUGGGAAGAAACUUGGCAUCUACCAUUGUAAG
rnacentral:lncRNA from 1 species